GACAGAGGGUGCAAACGUUGCUCGGAAUCACUGGGCGUAAAGGGCUCGUAGGCGGCCAACUAAGUCAGACGUGAAAUCCCCCGGCUUAACCGGGGAACUGCGUCUGAUACUGGAUGGCUUGAGUUCGGGAGAGGGAUGCGGAAUUCCAGGUGUAGCGGUGAAAUGCGUAGAUAUCUGGAGGAACACCGGUGGCGAAGGCGGCAUCCUGGACCGACACUGACGCUGAGGAGCGAAAGCCAGGGGAGCAAACGGG
rnacentral:rRNA from 1 species